GCGAAGGUGGUGGCGGAUGAAGGAUGGAGGAUUUCCCAGGGCUCCAGCUUGGGGCAGAUGCUGCCCGCGGCUAAGGCAGGACUGGAAACAGGCUGAUGUGUUCUGGGAGUGGGGAGCCGUGCUACAGGCCUGCAUCCUCUGCCCUGGAAAGCUGCCAAAGGGAUGCUGCCAGAGAAAUAUGAAAAAUGAUGCCGUGCCACGUGAAGUAGUGUUUUACAUAACAAAUCCAUUAAAUACCUAGCUCCUACUGGUGAAGUGAAGUAUUCCAGUAAGGAAAGGAAAGGAUACCCGAGUGGCUGUUGCACUAAGGGGAGUGAAAUUCAAAAGUGUUUUCUGUUUAUAUACUUUGGACCUAUGAAGCCCAGGAGAAGCACUUGGAGCUGCAUCUGGAUAGCCCACGUCAGCAAUGAGGAAAUUGUCAUUAUAGGUAUAAUGAUACUUUUAAUUAUGCAAAAGGUCUAUGUGCUUAGAAAGUUCUGUGUGCAGGUUGGAUAAAUUCAUGUAUUUUAUAGGAUGUGCAGGGCCACAGGCAGAGAAGCUCCUUUGGGAACCCUAUCUAAGUUUUCAAGAGCUUAGGUUACCUGAUUUCAAUAACACAGAUAGUGGAGAAAUAGGAAUGUUCUCUCUUUUUUGAUUCUGUAUUAUAGCCUGAUACUUCUUUUUCUAAAUCUCCAAAUCUCUUUGCUCUGGCAAAUGCCUUGUACUAAAGUCUUCCACUUUCUCAGCAUGAUAUGUGAAUAUUAGGCUCAUACAAAAGGCACUUCCCACCAUGAAGUUACAACUUUUGAACUCACCUCCAUCUGCUUGUACUGUACAUUAUAUGUGAAGUAACAGUUUCUAGAGGGCAAAGAGACACAUUUUAACAGUGAUAUUUUCUUCCAUGCAGAGGCCAUCCGGCUACAUGUCGUACCUUUCCAUGAAAUUUAAAAAUGCUUAUUUUUAAAACAAUUGAAAGACUCCAUUUAAAAAAUAUAAAUACAGUAAGACAGUAUUCCCUUGUCAUUUCUGUGUUUACCCUAUUUAUUUCUUAAGAACUGUGAUUAUGGCUUAGUACAAGCAAAAUGGAAUUGUGGCUCUGAUGUGUUUUGUUUGUAAUUUCAGCCUGUGUUCUCAUAAAUUGGGAAGUUCAUCCCUGCAGUCUGCCAGCCUCUGAAAGUAAAUGGGGGGUGCAUGCAGAUACACAGAAUUCCUCACAGGCUGAACCAUUUGGACUGUGAUCAGCAUGAUGCUGGCUGAUGCAGCCCUGAGGUGCUAACCAAACUACCUGUUUUUCUUCUAACUGCUCUUCUUCUGGAUCUUACUGUUCUUACUACUAGCUGUUGGACAGGAAUGCUUACAGGCUUAUCAACUCAGGCUCCCUUCCACAUGCCGGUACCUAACUCAUCUGGGCAUCAAGGGGACCUUGAAAAAAGAAAGCUUCCUUGUAUGGUGAUUUGUGAAUUUUCAUCUCUCACAUUUAAGCUGCUGUUCUGCAGCAUGGGGAAGGGAAUCAUGGAUUCUUCCUUUGCUGGAGUAUUACUAAUCAUACAGAAGAGCCAAUAUGGCUGAGAUUCAAAUCUGUGGGCGAAAUCAGUCUCUGAUAUAACUAUUCAUCUCAGCAAAAUUGCAGCAGGCUUGAUUAAAAUUAUCAUGACUGGUAAAUGUAAAGUACCUUAAUUUUUAGACUGCAGUCACAUAGUCUUAUGCACUUACACUCAUUUUUGUUCAAAUGAGACAUUUGGUAGAAAUUCAUUGUUACAAACACAUAUACAUGAUUUCUCAAAAUUCCAUACAAUUUGUUCAGAAAUCUUUCAAUAUGACUUUGUUCUAUUCAGCACUUUCCUUGCACUAUGCAAUAUCAGAUGGCUCUUGCCAGCCUUUUUUAUUUUCCCUCAAGUACUAUACUUUCUAAAAACAUUUUCUGUUUCUUCCUAUGGCUGAUACCUGAGGGAUCUGCAUCUACUCCAGCAGCGAACAGGAACCUGAAGAAACCUAUGCCACCAAGCAACAGUUUCAAAUCACAGUCCCGAUGUAACAAUCAUUUCUGUAUUACAUG